UCGAUUAGUGGACGGGUCUGAGGCAGGUAUCGCGCGGCGCCUUGUCUUACCGGUCAAACGACAACGAUCGAACGAAACGCCUCCAUAAUAACGAGCAAUAAUAGUAUUGUAUACGUAAAUAAACCAUGGUUAUGAUACUUUAAGAACUUACAGUGUCGUGUGUGUUACAAUUAAGCAGACACAAAUGAAACGACAAUGCAGACAGCAAGAGAGUCAAGCAGACAGCGACGGAGCAACAAACGGCGAAACUCCAGAAAGAAAUCUCUCUCACCGUCCGACCUAAAAUGCUACGAUAAGUCAGACAAUCGCUCCCUCUCCGAAGGCACGAAAGCCAAGCAUAGAAAAAGCAACAUAAGAAGGACUUUAACGCAUCCGUUCACCGGUGACCAGGAUGCGACGAUGAUAGGAGUGUUUAACCGUGAAGUGAAGGCCCCGGUGCCUGAGAGUGACGAGUCCAACAUCCCUCCGACGAGCAGCGACAGGGACACGGAGGAUGACGCGCGAGUGUUGAAGUCUGUGAUCAACCGGUCCCGAUGGGAUUCCGGGAGUGAGAUGGACUCGUUGGUGUCGACUGUAGUGAGGCGCGCCUCGGCCCGACGACGCAGGAUGCCAGCAAACCCAGAGUGGGGCGUCAGCAGCGAACCGGGCGAGGCGAGCGAGCCGGAGGCCGGUCGUAUGCGUCCCGAGGACUACCGCCUCGUGUUCCUCAGCUCCGACUCAUCGUGCCGCGAGGACACGGAGGACUCGUCGUCCACCGCUUCCUCCGCCGCGCCACUCGCGCCCGACGACUGCGACUGGGACUACUUUGAGCCGGGCGCGGCGGCAGCACCACCACCACCUCCCAGACACGUCCCGCAAGCCUGCCCCAGAACCUGCUCCUGCGGCGCUGAACCGAGAAUAGUUGCCGUUCCUGUCCCCGUGCCGGUCCCCGUACCUGCCGCCCUCUGGCCCGCUUUAUUAGCUUUCCCCCAAAACCCACCGACGCCACACUGGAACACCUACCCCGGCUUCCCGCCCCUCGAUGCGGCAGCCUUCGCCCGCCUCACGACGGCCGCCGCUGUCGCCGUCACCGCCGCCGCCACCGCCAACGCCAACGCUCUUCCCCAAACGAAAACGCUUGAAAUGACCACCGUAGAAAGGACCGAUAAAGCUAUACAGUCCGAAACGUCACAAACAGAAUCUCGCGAUAACGAUACCACUGAUAACGUUAUCAGUGAUAUCGGUAUUGAACGGCCAGUUGAAUGUGAAACGUCAGAUGAAAUAAAGGUGAUUGCAAAACAGGACUUAUCAGUAUUGUCGGAGGCCCCGGACGCGAUGCCCGAACAUUUGGACGCCGAGAAAGCGUUUAUAUCGUCAAACGAAUCGGGUGAUUCUAGUGAUUCUGACGCGGGUGUGGAAAGACGCAGCUAUGACCUGACAAGCGGGGCGCCGGAGGAGCCAGCCACCUCGGAUGAAGACUCGGACGACUCCGGGGGCGGCGGCGGGCAGUUCUCGAGAGUGUUCGUCGUCAACCCCGCCGACUCCUCCUCUGACAUGGAAGACAACGCCGACAGCAGCGGCAUCGACUGUGAUGAUUCCUACGACAAAAAGUCUGAUAGCUUAGAAAUUGCCGUUGAAGUGAUUAUGCAAAAUGAAGUCAUCAUUAAUGAAGAAAGCUAUAGCCAAAACCAGGACAACGUUGUGCUUUUAGAGUCAGUUAAGUUAAACGAAGAUAUUCCUGUUAUCCCAUAUGGAAGUGACAACGAUAACUGUGAAUCGAUAAAAUCUAAUUUUAUGAAAUUUUGUAAUGAAAAUAUGCUCCGCAGUGAAACCUGCGAGGAAUUUAAUAGCUUUAAUGCAUCGUGUAGUACGGAUUAUAACACUUUCGAUAGCAACGAAAAUAAAGAUAAUGAUAGCAAUAGAAGUAUUACUCCAUCAGAAAACAACGAGUGCGACUCGCUGGACGACGCGUUUACUACAGAAAGUGAUAUGAAAGUAAAAGUAUCCGCCGAGUUGCCUAAUGAGAAACAUAACAAUGAGGAAUGCAUUUCUAACGAAAUUUCGCACGGGUUGUUGACGAAAUUAGCGCCAUCGCCCGAGCCCGCGGCUAAUAACUUAAGUUUGCCGCCUGUUGAAAAAAUAGACCUGUUUAAAGGUAUCGAACGUACGCUCAGUGAACUAUUGAAGAAAGAAUUACUGGAAGAGCAAGAGGAGGGGAAAAUGCACGGCGUGGGGCCGGUUUGUUUAGAGGCGGGGGGCGCGGGCGCACCUGCCGCGGUCGCGGUGUCAACAGUUUGCCGCUCGCGCACGGCCGGUACGGACGGCUCCGCGCGCUUCACUAGCCGCGUUAUGAUAACACACGAUCGCGUCUCCGUCGUCACGUCGGAUACGACACGGCUCAUGCGCGACAUAACAGUGCACCACACCAACUCGGUGAACGAAACCAACCCUGACGCGAGCUCCCAGCAAAACGAUAAUGACGAACGAAUGUCCGACGACGAGGCGCCGCAGCCUUCGGGCGGCGUGACGGUUGUCAGCAACGCCGACACUCUCUCGGCCGUCGUGUGCCUCGAGGAGGGGCUCGCCGACGACGACUCUUGGGUCGAGGACGUCAGCCAUGACGAGGACGAGGUCACCUCGCCCUCCGACUCCGACUCAGAGGAUGAAGCGACCUUACCUACGCGGGGUGAAGAAUUUUCAUACUGUCGGCGUUCCUUAGACUUCACUUUACACACGAUUGUCGAAGAAAGCUGUGAAGAAAGUGAAUCGGAGCAUACAGUGAAAAAACCACGGCCCAUUUCGGCUACCGAGUUGGAAAAAUAUUUCUUUUUCGGCCUCGGCGAUGGUAGAAAUAUUCGAGACGAUGAGGAGCCUAUGUCGGAAACGUCAAGUGUGUGCAGUGAGGGUGCGGAGUCUAUCGUUGAUAAUGAGCAGCCGGAGAGAAGUGGAGACAAUGACGAGCUGGUAUCAUCACGGUUGGAAAAAUAUUUCUUGUCUGGAUUUAUGGGCUUCAAUCAGGAAAGGCGCGACUCAGAUGGCUCAGGUAGCGUUGGUAGUGAUAGUGAGGGAAGACAGAGUCCCGAACAAAGGCGGAAACGUCCUUUACGAGCCCGUGGUACCCCACGCUCACACUCAUCGUCAUUAGAUAACUUAUUGACUGGGGAAGAGCCAACGCAGGACGCGCAGGAAGUGUCAGAUGGAUCGAGCACCGAAACCGAUGAUCGACACGACUCUUCGGAGCGCCUCGAUUCACAAGGUGAAUCUAAAAGGAAAAAGCAAAGUAAAAAAACUAGAGGUUCCCCAGCAGACGAACGGCGCUUAUCAACUGAGUUCGCGGAGGAAACUCGAGACGACACUAGAUCUGUUUCGGAGGGUGAAGAUGGCAGGUUAACGCCCCGACCCGAAUUUCCGCCGCUUGGAUCUGAACUAUCUGAAUCUAAAAAACAAACAAGUCGAGAUAGCGGCUUCGUGGGCAGUUGUGAUGAUCUCUUGAGGAAUGGCGAUUCUAGUUCAGAUUUUACCCGAUCUCAGGAACCUAAAGUAGAAUUAGAGGAGAUUAUUGAGGAAAUAAGGCCCGACAUCGAGGAACGUGUCGAAGGUCCCCCAUCGUCCCGUCCCCCACCCACACCCCUAAUACGUAAGGAUAGCUUUAAUAACUGGUCGUCCGAUGAAGAGACAAACCUUAUGAUGACAAAAAUGCGCCAAUUCUUCAAGCAAAUGAUAAAUUCAGCGAACGUUCGCGCGUCAACACCGCAGUCAUCUAACUCGGAAAGUUCGCGCCCGCCAAAACCACCACAAUUAUUAUACUUUGAAAGCGAACUGACGCGACUUAUGAAAACUGUACCCGGUAUCCGGGAUGAGGAAGUGCGCGAAAUAGUCGAAUAUUUGUCAAGCGAAGACACCUGGAGCGAUUCUUAUGAUUCGUCCGAUUACGCCGGCUCAGAUUUAGAAGGGACCGCGGCGAAUCGUUCGGCCUUGAGAAAACAGAUAUCGGAGAGUUGCCGCGAGAUAAUUGACGAGUUCGAUCGUGGAAAUGGCGAGGAUGGUUCGCUGGAGCGCGACGCGGCUGGGGCGUACCAACGGCUGGCGGCGACGCUGGGCCGCGCGGGGGAGGGAUCGCCACCUCUCUUCGGGAAGGUGAUGCGACAUAUAGGGGGUAGGCUAGUGGCGUUAAUGCAUGAAGUGUCUGGUGGUGUGCCGAGUACGGACGAUGAUAGUGCGUCGGAGCCGGGAGCGUUGGCCCGGAGUCGUUCCCACGACAUCCUGGAACCCACGGCUAGUCGUGGAAGUGUCGCGAGUGAUAGUGAACGGUUUUCGUGGCGUGGUAGUUUCGAGUCCGCCUUGCUCGCUGCGGACUCGCGCGGGACUCUAGGAGGUGGUGUUGAAGCUAGGCGCUCGCCGGCGGGCGCUGAGCUGGCAGCCCAGAAGUCGCACUCGAGGAGUUGCGGUGCCAUCGGUGGUAGCGAGGACCGACUGUGGCGGGGCAGACGGCGGGCUUCUGCGCCUGACGCUGAGUCAGAAGAAGAACAGCGCGCCGGCUCUCUCCCCCGCCUACCCUCCAUCGCGGGCACCGCCAACGCGCCCGCCGGCCCCGUCAAGUCGGCGAGGUAUCGCGCACCGGGAUUCCGCACGGCGACGCGGGCGGCGUCAGCGCCGGGGCUGCACGCGCCGCGCCGACGCCGACCGCCGCCGGCGACGGUGCAGCCGUCGCCUGCUGCGCCUGCUUCCGCGCCUAGCUUGCAAGAUGAGACGUACAUAUCGGAGUCGGUGUCACCGGGCCACGCCACGCUGCCGCGGCGCUCCAACUCGCCGCUGCCGCACGAACGCGACCUCGAUCGGUUCUCGCUCAACAGGAGUGGCCUUCAGGGCCGCUCGGAAUCCAUGGCAUCGGUAUACUCGGGCGCAGGCGAGGGUAUGCGCGGCAACGUGACUGUUCGAGGAGACGUCCAGUUCUCUCUGUUGUACAACUACCGGCUCGGAUCGUUGGAGGUCGGAGUAAGGAGGUGCAGAGACCUCGCCCCUGUUGAUGUGAAGCGGAAUCGGUCGGAUCCUUAUGUUAAGGUGUACUUGUUACCGGACAAGUCCAAGACUGGCAAACGGAAGACGAAGGUGAAGAAGAACACGCUCAACCCGAUAUUUGAGGAGACGCUGAGCUUCGUGCAGCCGCUGGCCUCGCUGUCUUCACGGACACUGUGGCUCAGCGUGUGGCACGCCGACAUGUUCGGCCGGAACGACUUCCUCGGCGAGGUGACGCUGCCGCUGGCCGACGUCGUGUUCGACGACCCCGCGCCCAUGUGGUACAAGUUACACGAGCGGACGGAACAGUUCGAUGAGCAACAAGGCACGCGCGGAGACCUGAUCAUAGGACUGAAGUACGAGCUGUCGGAGACCGGGCCGCGCGCUAAAGGAACCCUUCACGUGCUGGUUAAGGAAGCCAAGAACGUCGUCGCCACCAAGCCGAACGGGCUGGCUGAUGUAUUUUGCAAGAGCUACCUCCUCCCCGAGCGCGGCCGGCUCGCGAAGCAGAAGACGGGCGUGUGUCGCCGCACGCUGAGCCCGCGCUGGGAGCACACCUUCACGUACCGCGGCCUCGCGCCCCGCGAGCUCGCCGCGCGCGCGCUCGAGCUCAGUCUGUGGGACCGCGACCGGCUCGCCUCCAACGACUUCAUGGGGGCCGUCAGACUGUCGCUAGGGACUGGUACGUAUCCGUGAUUACACGUACUCACGUCGGCCGGUGGACACUUAACCCCUGUUGAGAGCACACCUUCACGUACCGCGGCCUCGCGCCCCGCGAGCUCGCCGCGCGCGCGCUCGAGCUCAGUCUGUGGGACCGCGACCGGCUCGCCUCCAACGACUUCAUGGGGGCCGUCAGACUGUCGCUAGGGACUGGAACAUACAUGGGAGCCAACGUAAACUGGAUGGACAGUGUAGGCAAAGAAGUAUCCCUGUGGCAAGACAUGAUGCAGAACCCAAACAUCUGGGUCGAACGCUCGCUUCCCCUCCGACCACAACUCAACAAUUAAAACAAUAGCGUACCUACACCGCACAAGGCAGAUGCCUUUAACUCCCUGCCUAAUAUUUAUACAUAAAUUUGUACCUAAAUAUAUAGGUAAAAAUUUCAAACAUUAUUUCAGUGUAAUUUUAGUACCUAAUGAAAAUCGAAUGAAUCAAUUGGGACCAAAAUCAUGUCUUCUAUUUUUGAAUGCCUUUUUACCGACUUUACAUUUUUCCUUUAUAGGGUUACCUAGGCUAACAUCUUACUAAAGACCAAUGUGCCAAUCGUGUAAAAUGUUAUUUAUACAUUUAAUCCACCUACCUACCUAGUAAUAUUGUCUUUCUGUACUUCUUUUAUAUACUUAUUAGCUACCCUAAAGGUGUGUAUCUAUUAUUUAGUGAUGAAUACUCUACAAAUACUUUAUAAUGUAUCUAUUUACUAAUCGAUUACAUUCCAACUUUGUGAUGAAUACUUUUAUAAUUUUAUAAGCGUGAGACUUUGAUGACAAUAAUAUUAAUUUCGACUAGUAACUGCCUGCUAGUAAAUACGGUGAAACAUUAAAUACGUUAAUGCAUUUAAAAAUAGGUCUAUAUAUUAAGUUUAAUGUACAAAUUAAGUUCACAUGAGUUUCUAAGUAUCUGCUCAUGCAUAUUGUGAUUUAAUUAUACAUUUUGGAGAAUGUUGAAAAUAGUGUUGAAGUGUGAAUGUGUGUGAAAUGUUAAAAAAAUGUGAAUAAUGACAAAUAACUUGUCUACUUAAUACUUAACGAUAUGGAGACGUCCAUAGUAUAUAAAAUAGCCUUAGUUUGCCUACUUAACGACGAUACAGAGUACUGUAGGUCCCGGUUUAUUUAAUAACUAUUUUUGUAUUAAUAUUGUCGAUGUGAAAAGCGAUAUAAAAUAAACAUUGAAUCAAG